GCGCUGACUGCCCGUGGGCGCAUGCGUAGUGGAGGGAGGGCGUCGGGGCGUCCGCGAGCGCCAACUUUCAGCGUCUGGCUUGCGGAUUCCUUCUAUCCCGCCCCGAUGCUGCAGGGCCCUGGCCGAGCGGCGUCAGCUGGAAGGCUGGCCAGAUUUUGUCCUACUCUGGGCAGGAAGACGGCCGAGGUGGCGGCCGAUGGAGAUAGUAGUGCCUUGCUUAAGUCACGGCGGCCGGCGGCGCCCUCCUGGAGGCUGACUGGACGGAGGCAGGGAAGAUCCCGGUGAGCAGGCCGGGCCUAACAGGAACCUCCAGCGGCCGCUCAAAGCCGCGGGCACGGGUGCUGACUCAGCCGCCCUCGGGACGGAGUUGCUGCGUCCCCGCAAACCUGCCAGUGCAGCUGAAGUGGCGGGUUAGAGCUGUGGUACUCAAACAUGUCCAAGCAAACGGGAGGAGCACCGGCGCGGGUUCAGUCUCUCCAAACCCGGUUCAGCCGUUAUCUCUGGAGUCAGACUGCGCCGCCCAAUUCAUGGGUUUGUGCUUUUGACUCCGCUCUGAUUUUUUUGAAUGAAUAAAGUUGCCUGGGAUACUUUAGUUGCAGAGCGUCUUUUCGACCCUAAAAAGAGGGAAAUUUCCAUUGAAAAAGUUUUUUUCCACAUAUUGGCAAACCCAAAGGAUGCCAAUUUGCAACAUGUUGACAUUUUCAUUGAAAUAUCUACAAUAAAGGCAAACAUUCCUUGUCUUUCAGUGA